UGCAAAAAUAUGGUCUCCUGACUUAUGUAGAGAAAUUGAAACCAGGGAGUUCUAAAUCUCAUAAUUGUGUUGCUAUCCAUCAUGAUCGAGAACAAUUUAUCUGAUUUUCUUUUUUACAUUUUCAGAGAAAAACAUUUCUAAACAAUGUUAAGAUUUUCAAGAAUACAAUUAAUAGCCAACACUAUAAUAUCUGCAAGAACUACCAUCUGAGGAAAGAAUUUUUCUGUAAUAUAGGGAUUGAUGAAUACUCUAUACCAAGAAGCACCUUUUCCUUAUUGUUCAUGUUCAAUACUUUCAAAUUCUUCAGGUCUAAUGGGGAAAGACAACAGAAGAGGAAAGUUUAAGGAGUAUUUGUGUAUGUUUAUAUUUUGCCCUUAGGAUCUUACACAGCCCUAUGAGAGCAUAUGUCAGUUCAUCAUGGUGAAGAGUGUCUGGCAGGUCAAAUCAUGGUUACCAGGACGCAGAGACAGGAAAGACUCCCUCGCUACAAAAAUUCUUUUUCCUCCUCCAUCUAUCUGCAGCCCAGUGACAAUUUGAUACUACCUGCAUUCAGGGAAUGCAUGAGGCCUUAGGUGCCUUCUCUUCUCCAUGAUGGAACAUAGAAGAACCCUGUUCUGUGCAGGUCUCGUGCACUUAACCAAAGCUGCGCUGAGUUCAGAACUCCAUGGACUUGGGAAACAGUUUUAAAACCAUGAAUGUAAAGGACUUAGAAAUUCAUUCAAUGGAGAAGGGAAAGAAGUGAAACCUGGAAAUAAUGGAAAUUAAAGUUCAGAAAGAUUAUGUGCUCACCAUCAUGUGGUCCAGAUCUGUGCCCAGAAUACCUGAUUCCUAAGCCCAUUCAUCAACACAGGGCCUGUCAUGCUCAGAACAGGAUUGGCUGGGUGAAGGGGUGUGGCACCAGUAACCCUCAGGAAUACAGGCCACAGAGCUAAUGAAGAGCCGGAAGGAAAGAAAGACCUACCCAUCUGCUCUGGAUCCUCUCCCCCACCAUGCCACAGACCUGAGGGCACGUGACCCAGGAAUGUGCAUCUGAAGAUAAUACUACCUUCAGAGAACUCUACUUAUAGAAGCCGCAUUUUUGUUCAAUUGGAUGAAACAAAGAAACAAAAACCUGUGUCUCAAAUUCUCAUCUAAACAACCAAGCAAAUGACAGAUUUUUAAAUGCAAGACAAGUCUUUACCAAAUACAAAGGAAUAUUAUUCAGUUUUUCAUGAAGAGUCCUUGAAGAAGAUCAACAAGGGACCAAGAACUUCUCAGAAAAGGUGAUUUUCUUAUAUUAAACAGUCUCUCAAAAGAUCUCAUUAGAGAUAGAAAGA